GACGAACGCUGGCGGCGUGCUUAACACAUGCAAGUCGAACGGAAAGGCCCUGCUUUUGUGGGGUGCUCGAGUGGCGAACGGGUGAGUAACACGUGAGUAACCUGCCCUUGACUUUGGGAUAACUUCAGGAAACUGGGGCUAAUACCGGAUAGGAGCUCCUGCUGCAUGGUGGGGGUUGGAAAGUUUCGGCGGUUGGGGAUGGACUCGCGGCUUAUCAGCUUGUUGGUGGGGUAGUGGCUUACCAAGGCUUUGACGGGUAGCCGGCCUGAGAGGGUGACCGGCCACAUUGGGACUGAGAUACGGCCCAGACUCCUACGGGAGGCAGCAGUGGGGAAUAUUGCACAAUGGGCGGAAGCCUGAUGCAGCAACGCCGCGUGCGGGAUGACGGCCUUCGGGUUGUAAACCGCUUUCGCCUGUGACGAAGCGUGAGUGACGGUAAUGGGUAAAGAAGCACCGGCUAACUACGUGCCAGCAGCCGCGGUGAUACGUAGGGUGCGAGCGUUGUCCGGAUUUAUUGGGCGUAAAGGGCUCGUAGGUGGUUGAUCGCGUCGGAAGUGUAAUCUUGGGGCUUAACCCUAAGCGUGCUUUCGAUACGGGUUGACUUGAGGAAGGUAGGGGAGAUUGGAAUUCCUGGUGGAGCGGUGGAAUGCGUAGAUAUCAGGAGGAACACCAGUGGCGAAGGCGGUUCUCUGGGCCUUUCCUGACGCUGAGGAGCGAAAGCGUGGGGAGCGAACAGGCUUAGAUACCCUGGUAGUCCACGCUGUAAACGGUGGGUACUAGGUGUGGGGUCCAUUCCACGGGUUCCGUGCCGUAGCUAACGCUUUAAGUACCCCGCCUGGGGAGUACGGCCGCAAGGCUAAAACUCAAAGGAAUUGACGGGGCCCCGCACAAGCGGCGGAGCAUGCGGAUUAAUUCGAUGCAACGCGUAGAACCUUACCUGGGUUUGACAUGGAUCGGGAGUGCUCAGAGAUGGGUGUGCCUCUUUUGGGGUCGGUUCACAGGUGGUGCAUGGCUGUCGUCAGCUCGUGUCGUGAGAUGUUGGGUUAAGUCCCGCAACGAGCGCAACCCUUGUUCACUGUUGCCAGCACGUUAUGGUGGGGACUCAGUGGAGACCGCCGGGGUCAACUCGGAGGAAGGUGGGGAUGACGUCAAGUCAUCAUGCCCCUUAUGUCCAGGGCUUCACGCAUGCUACAAUGGCUGGUACAGAGAGUGGCGAGCCUGUGAGGGUGAGCGAAUCUCGGAAAGCCGGUCUCAGUUCGGAUUGGGGUCUGCAACUCGACCUCAUGAAGUCGGAGUCGCUAGUAAUCGCAGAUCAGCAACGCUGCGGUGAAUACGUUCCCGGG
rnacentral:rRNA from 1 species